GCCAUUUCAUCUUCUACGCUACACUUCAACCCCUACAUCUUCUCUGCACCACAAAACUCAGCCACUUCAUCUUCUCUGCUCUACGAAACUCACCCUUCAUAUGGUUUGUUUUUCUAGUUCGCUCGGUGGCUGCUGGUUCAUCCGGUAAGCACCCUCUGCCUCUUCAUUGUUUUUUCUUGUGCUUUUUGAUUUCUGGGUUUUGAGCAUCGUAUGAAAAACUCAGCCGCUUCAUCUUGGUUAUAUAAUUAUCAAAUGAAUUGCGUAAUGGGUAUAUAAUUACGAAAACUCAGCCCCUGCAUAUAUUUCGCUCGUUGGCCACUGGUUCGUGAGGUGAGCCAGGCUCUACUUCAUAAUUUUCCCCCCCUUUUUGGUUGCUGGUGUUGGAGCCAACGCACAAGAAGCUUUUAAAAGAUUAAUUUGUGAUAAUUAUAUACCAAUUAUGCAAUUCAUUUGGUUUCAAAAAAAAAUUCAAGAAAAAGAGAAGGAAGAAGGUUGAUUUGGCUGAAGCAUACCUCCAGCAUUUUGGUUCAUCAGAAGUUAAUUCCCAUCUUGCCUUUUAAAUUGAUCCUAUUUUCAAGCUAUGUCUUUGGACACUUGGCUACAAAGGCAAUUCUGUGAAUUUUUGGGUGUACAAAGACGUUUUUGGGGUGUGUAUCAAAAGCUAAUCACCCUUAUAUACAUAGGGAUGAAUGCUUUAUUGUUUGUCCACAGAUACACUAUUUAAUGAAUGCUUUAUUGGGUACUAAUAAUUUGGAAUAUGUUAAAUGGUGAAAUGGUUAAGAGUGGUGGUUAGAUGGGGAUGCUGUCCUAAAUGUUGAACAACUGCUUAUGAAUGGAGCCUUGUGUGUUGGUCAAACUGUGUAAAUGCUAUUAUUAUGUUAUAUAUCGAGAGUGCUUGCCUAUGUAGCUCAUGUCUAUGAGUCUAGCUAUUUUCAUUGUCAUAAUACAUUUCAUAUUUAAGCAUUUUGUUUCUUGAAACAUUGUUACUAGUUGUGGGUUUUGUUAUCUAGCCUAAUGUGAGAUUUGUAAUUUCCAGAUACAAUGUGCAGGUUUGCUUAAAACAGAUACCAAAAUGUAAGUGUAGGUGGGUGCGGGUAGUGAGGGAUCUUUGGUGGUUGACAUCUGACUUCUAUUUGAAGUGGUUUAUUCUUUGAGUAAUGAUGCUUGCAGCUUCUGUAAGAGUAUAGUGGCCUGCAUCUAAUAUCAGUAUCUAUAACUUCUAUUUUCACUUUUACAUUUGCAGGUAGAAUUAUGAUUGGAUUAUAUGGUUAGGUUGUACCAAAAACUGUUGGUACGUGUUCAUUUCAUGUUGGUUCGUUUGUGACAAAUGAAAUGGCAAGAGAGCUGUGAAAUAU
rnacentral:lncRNA from 1 species